AAGUCGUAACAAGGUCUCCGUUGGUGAACCAGCGGAGGGAUCAUUACCGAGUUUACAACUCCCAAACCCAUGUGAAUCUUACCUUUUCGUUGCUUCGGCGGGAUCGCCCCGGGCGCCAUCGUGUGCCCCGGACCCAGGCGCCCGCCGGGGGACCUAAACUCUUGUAUUACUUUUGUUUUCUCUGAGUGGAUUACACAAAUAAUCAAAACUUUCAACAACGGAUCUCUUGGUUCUG
rnacentral:misc_RNA from 1 species